rnacentral:ncRNA from 1 species
UCACCAACCGGUGAUGGGCGGCACCGGUGCGAACAGCAUCAUGAUCGGUACGGCUGAUGCGCUCUACUACACC